rfam:Schistosoma mansoni strain Puerto Rico chromosome 1, complete genome
AUCCGGCUGACGAGUCCCAAAUAGAACGAAACGCGCAUCCUGGAU